UUCAAAAAUAUUUUCGUGACCACAGACUUCGUAUCUCAUUUCCGGGCGGGCCGAUGGACGACGAAAACCGGGUCAUCUCUGGAGCUAGGAACGGAACUACUCGGAAGAGCUCGGCUCGGCUGAACCCAGCACGUUUCGUCGGGGAAGGAAUUAAAUGCUGGAAGGAG